CGGAGUGGACGCAUCACUGGUGUUCGGGUUGUCAUGCCAAUGGCAUUGCCCGGUAGCUAAAUGCGGAAGAGAUAAGUGCUGAAAGCAUCUAAGCACGAAACUUGCCCCGAGAUGAGUUCUCCCUGACCCUUUAAGGGUCCUGAAGGAACGUUGAAGACGACGACGUUGAUAGGCCGGGUGUGUAAGCGCAGCGAUGCGUUGAGCUAACCGGUACUAAUGAACCGUGAGGCUUAACCUUACAACGCCGAAG
rnacentral:rRNA from 2 species